AGCUCAUUCAUCAAUGUAAGUUGGUGGACCUCAUGAAAGCCUUUUAAAAUUUUAGACCUAUACAAUAAUUCGGACCUCAUUUCAGCUCAUUAAAUAUUAUCAUUUGUGCCUAAUAAAUUUCAUUAAAGUGGGCCUGAUCAACGACGGCCCAUAUCCAUACCCUAUAAAAUAUCUGUUCGAAAUUCAAUUUCAAACCACAACCCAUUCAAAAUUCGAUUUCGAAUUUUGAAUCCCCAACCAAUUUCCAAAAUAUCCUCCAACCAUCCAACAAUCUAUUCAAAAUUUGAUUUCGAAUUUCGAAUCCCGAACCAACUCCCAAAAUAUCUUCCAACCACCAAACAAUCGAUUCAAAAUUCAAUUUCGAAUUUCGAAUCCCCAACCAAUUCCCAAAAUAUCUUCCAACCAUCCAACAACCUAUUCAAAAUUCGAUUUCGAAUUUCGAAUCCCCAACCAACUCCAAAAAUAUCUUCCAACCAUCCAACAACCCAUUCAAAAUUCGAUUUCGAAUUUCGAAUCCCCAACCAACUCGAAAAAUAUCCAACAACCAAUUUAAAAUUCGAUUUCGAAUUUCGAAUCCCCAACCAAUUCCCAAAAUAUUCUCCAACUAUCUAACAACCGAUUCAAAAUUCGAUUUCGAAUUUUGAAUCCCCAACCAACCUCCGAAAUAUCUUCCAACCAAUCACAACAACCGAUUCAAAAUUCGAUUUCGAAUUUCGAAUUCCCAACCAACCCCAAAUAUCUUCCAACCAACCACCACAACCGAUUCAAAAUUCGAUUUCGAAUGUCGAAUUCUUAACUGACUCCUCAAAAUAUCUCUCGCCACCCCUCCUAUUAUAAAUAUGAGAAUCGAAAUCAAAUGUCGGACGAUGGAC
rnacentral:lncRNA from 1 species